UGAUUUCAGUUCUUUGCUGUUUGUUUAUCAUGUACAGGUGACGAGGGUCCUCCUCCUUCUACUAUCAUCAACCACAACGAAACAUUCGCCAAAGUUGUUUUUAAGCCUACCGUGGUGCAACAAGCUAAAAUUGCCCAGAAUGGGAUUUUGGGAGAUUUCAUCAUUCAGUAUGAUGUCAAGAGAGAGCAGAAUAUCGGCGAUAUCCAGGUUCUAGAUGGUUACUUCGUGCACUACUUUGCUCCUAAAAACCUCCCUCCUUUACCUAAGAACGUGGUCUUCGUGCUCGACAUCAGUGCCUCCAUGGUGGGAGCGAAACUCCAGCAG
rnacentral:sRNA from 1 species